CCUACGGGCGGCAGCAGUAGGGAAUCUUCCACAAUGGGCGAAAGCCUGAUGGAGCAACGCCGCGUGGGUGAAGAAGGUCUUCGGAUCGUAAAACCCUGUUGUUAGAGAAGAAAGUGCGUGAGAGUAACUGUUCACGUUUCGACGGUAUCUAACCAGAAAGCCACGGCUAACUACGUGCCAGCAGCCGCGGUAAUACGUAGGUGGCAAGCGUUAUCCGGAUUUUUUGGGCGUAAGGGGAACGCAGGCGGUCUUUUAAGUCUGAUGUGAAAGCCUUCGGCUUAACCGGAGUAGUGCAUUGGAAACUGGGGGACUUGAGUGCAGAAGAGGAGAGUGGAACUCCAUGUGUAGCGGUGAAAUGCGUAGAUAUAUGGAAGAACACCAGUGGCGAAAGCGGCUCUCUGGUCUGUAACUGACGCUGAGGUUCGAAAGCGUGGGUAGCAAACAGGAUUAGAUACCCUUGUAGUC
rnacentral:rRNA from 1 species